UCUUUUCCUUUUUUGCCCGCCGCCGCGGUAAUACGUAGGGGGCAAGCGUUAUCCGGAUUUACUGGGUGUAAAGGGAGCGUAGACGGUGUGGCAAGUCUGAUGUGAAAGGCAUGGGCUCAACCUGUGGACUGCAUUGGAAACUGUCAUACUUGAGUGCCGGAGGGGUAAGCGGAAUUCCUAGUGUAGCGGUGAAAUGCGUAGAUAUUAGGAGGAACACCAGUGGCGAAGGCGGCUUACUGGACGGUAACUGACGUUGAGGCUCGAAAGCGUGGGGAGCAAACAGG
rnacentral:rRNA from 1 species